rnacentral:rRNA from 1 species
CAAGUCGGACGGCAGUGGGGGCUUGCCCCCAUGAGAGUGGCGAACGGGUGAGUAACACGUAGGUGAUCUGCCCUUAGGCUGGGGAUAGCCUGUGGAAACACAGGGUAAUACCGAAUGAGCUGGUCUGGUUUUGACUGGACUAGGAAAGGUGCUACGGCACCGCCUGAGGAGGAGCCUGCGGCUGAUUAGCUAGUUGGUGGGGUAAGAGCCUACCAAGGCGACGAUCAGUAGCCGGCCUGAGAGGGUGUACGGCCACACUGGGACUGAGACACGGCCCAGACUCCUACGGGAGGCAGCAGCUAAGAAUCUUCCGCAAUGGGCGAAAGCCUGACGGAGCGAUGCCGCGUGAUCGAUGAAGGUCGAGAGAUUGUAAAGAUCUUUUCUCCAUGAGGAAUAAGGAUAGGAGGGAAUGCCUGUCUGAUGACGUUAGUGGAGGAAUAAGCCCCGGCUAAUUACGUGCCAGCAGCCGCGGUAACACGUAAGGGGCGAGCGUUGUUCGGAAUUAUUGGGCGUAAAGGGCACGCAGGCGGCCUGACAAGUCUGGUGUGAAAGAUCCGGGCUCAACUCGGGAAACGCGCUGGAACUGUCAAGCUAGAGUAUUGGAGGGGGAGUCGGAAUUCCUAGUGUAGGGGUGAAAUCUGUUGAUAU